GACGAACGCUGGCGGCGUGCUUAACACAUGCAAGUCGAACGGAAAGGCCCUGCUUUUGUGGGGUGCUCGAGUGGCGAACGGGUGAGUAACACGUGAGUAACCUGCCCUUGACUUUGGGAUAACUUCAGGAAACUGGGGCUCAUACCGGAUAGGAGCUCCUGCUGCAUGGUGGGGGUUGGAAAGUUUCGGCGGUUGGGGAUGGACUCGCGGCUUAUCAGCUUCUUUGGGGGGUAGUUGCUUACCAAGGCUUUGACGGGUAGCCGGCCUGGGAGGGGUGCCGGCCACCUUGGGACUGCGGUACGGCCCAGAAGCCUACGGGAGGCAGCAGUGGGGAAUAUUGCACAAUGGGCGGAAGCCUGAUGCAGCAGCGCCGCGUGCGGGAUGACGGCCUUCGGGUUGUAAACCGCUUUCGCCUGUGACGAAGCGGGAGUGACGGUAAUGGGUCAAGAAGCACCGGCUAACUACGUG
rnacentral:rRNA from 1 species